GCGGACAUGGUGGAAUUGGUAGACACGCUAGAUUUAGGAUCUAGUGAGCUGGUCUCGUGAGAGUUCAAGUCUCUCUGUCCGCA
rnacentral:tRNA from 2 species